GCUCCCAGAAGGGGUGGAGCUUGACUCCACCUCCUCUAGACCUCAUUUAAGGGCUGACCACCACUAAGGCAGCAUCUCUCUUGGAGGUUGCUCCCUGGUGAAGAUUGCCUCAGCAUUUCCUAGUGAAGGCAUCCAUAUUGCACAACUGGAAGGAGUGCUGCACACAAGCAACCCAGGUACUGCAAGAACAAACUGAAGCUAAGGCAGCGUGCAGUCUCUGAGCCUCGAUCCUACUGCCUUGCUUGACAGAGCCUCAAACUGUCAGGGGUCUCUGACAGGAGGAAGGAUAUGCAGCUGUUCAGGACAAGGAAGCAUACAGUUUCAUCAGCAGGGUGCUGGUUACCAAACUGCAGCCUGAAGUGGCCAUCAUAAAAGGAAGACACUGCAACCAGACUGCAGAACCCAAUUGUCCGUCAUGCAUUUGCAAUUAAAAUCUGAGCAGCAGGUACAACAGACCCAAAACAUGCAA